rnacentral:rRNA from 1 species
CAACGGAUAAAAGCUACCCUGGGGAUAACAGGCUUAUCUCCCCCAAGAGUCCACAUCGACGGGGAGGUUUGGCACCUCGAUGUCGGCUCAUCACAUCCUGGGGCUGUAGUAGGUCCCAAGGGUUGGGCUGUUCGCCCAUUAAAGUGGUACGCGAGCUGGGUUCAGAACGUCGUGAGACAGUUCGGUCCCUAUCCGUCGCAGGCGUAGGAAAUUUGAGAAGACCUGUCCUUAGUACGAGAGGACCGGGAUGGACGUACCUCUGGUGUACCAGUUGUCCUGCCAAGGGCAUGGCUGGGUAGCUAUGUACGGAAUGGAUAAGCGCUGAAAGCAUCUAAGCGCGAAGCCAACUUCAAGAUAAGAUUUCCCACCGCAAGGGUAAGACCCCAGAAAGACUAUCUGGUUGAUAGGUCGAAGGUGUAAGUGCAGCAAUGUAUUUAGCUUAUCGAUACUAAUAGGUCGAGGACUUGACCAAU